AUCUCCCAUCCCUUGCAAACUCUUCUGGUGUCUCUGGUGGUGAAGUCGGGCGGGGAGGGUGACUCCGACUUGGGAAGAGCCCAGUCUCCGUUCUCUUUCAGCUCUCCUCUCCUCCAGUACCCCCCACGCAACGCCUCGGAGAGUGGUGCGCCGGGAGCGCUUCCCCGGGGUCGUCAUCGCACCACCCCUUGGGAGGGUGCCUUGGCCCCUGCCCCAGCCAGGUAUCAGUGGCCCCCGCCCGUGGUGUCACUUGUUGCCACCCCCUCGCUGCAGACCUGCCAGGACCGAGUGAAAUGUGCGCUUCUGAGGGAGUGAGGGCCUAAUGGGGCGCAGCGCCCGGGUCCUCUCUGCUUCCUGCCCUGUUCCCCUCAGCGAGGACUCGCUACCGGGAGGGAGACCCGGGCCUGCUUCCUGCCCUCCUUCCCCGAGUCACAGGGAAAACAGGCUGGCGGGGCCGGGGCUUAGGAAUCACGCCAGGGACUGGGCGGGGCGCUCGUGGUACCGGUAACAAACAGCGUGGGGACCCGCAUACCCAGCGGGGAACAACCAUGCCUGCGUGGGGACCCCUGGCUUGAACAAGUUUCUAGGGUGGGAAUUGGAGGCAAAAGAGGAGGCGGAGGAAGGUGGAGAUGCCAGUGGGCGAAGGAACCGCCUGUGGGGACGGAGAUGAGGCUGGGAAAGGAAAAGAGAUGGACCCGCGAAAAAGAGGAAGGAGGCUGCAGAGAGAAAGCUGAGCGCCACAGCCAAGCAGUCAGAAAGGGCCAGAGGGGAGGAGACGGACCCAGCAGUUAACGGAAAAAAGAGGCCGAAAACGGAAGAGAAAGCCUGGGACCGUUAGCGCGUGGGGAAGGAACCCCAGUGCGUGGAGAAAGCAGGGGCGGCCGAACCCCGCUCUCCAGCUCCUGGCCACCAGCCCGCGGGUCCCCGAGCGCCCGCAGCCUCCGGAGUGUCCACGCGGCUCCGGAAGACGCCCGCAGGGGCGGAGGCUGGCGAGGCUGCCCCGGGACCUACACUUCUCAGCCCGCCCGCCAGCCCGCGUUCUUCUCGGCGACACCGGGAUCCGGGUGGCGCUGUGUGCCUGCCCCUAGUCCGCGUCCUGCGCGGAGAGGAUGCCUCUAUCACCCUCUGUGUGGACGUGGCCUUUAAACUGCUCAUUCCUCCUCUGGGGUAAAGAGUUGAAUCAUCAGAUCGCAUUGGUGGACCAAAAGCAGUAUGGUCAAAGUUGAUUGGCAGCUGGACUGGAUUCCUGGAAACGGUUGCACUUUACCAGGAGAGAGGGUCCACAGAUGUGCAGAAGCAGUGACAAUGAAGAAGGGACAAGUCCUACGUGCGGUUUGAAAUAAAAUCAGGACUUUAUGUUGUGGCGGUUAAGAGAGAGAAGGAUGUCAAGGAUAAUCCUCAUGUGACUUGCUCAAGCAAUUUGGCAGAUAGAGGUGCUUGUUAUUGACUCGGAGAAAUCUGGAGGUUGACCAGAUGUAUGAGUAUGGGAGGGUAAGGGGCGGAAGCUUCCCAAACCUGAAGCUUUUUCAAACCAUUUGGGACACUUGUGUGCUCUGCUUCCCUACACUCAUAGAUAUGUCCCAGGGUCAGGGAGGCAGUGUCGCCUGAUAUUUAGUUAGUUAGAAAGAGAAAGCACUCAUGUUUUAGUCUGGAAGCUUGGGAUCUAGACUCAGACUUUGGGCUUUUCUUUAUUUUUCUCUGAGCCAUUUCUUCUUGUCCAAAGUGAGGAGUUUGUCCAAAACACUUUCAUGUGCCAAUUUGCCUCUAAAAGCCCGUGGUUACUGAUUAUGACCACAGCAGGGACAGUCUUUCAAAACUAUGUCCAAAGGUUACAUUUAUAUUGAUUCUGUGUCCGUUGGAGUCUCGUCCUGAGACACAGGUGAAGCAGGAUGUGGGGCAAUGAUAAUGACCAGUAGACAAACAGGGUCACUCAGGUUACCCAGAGCUCUGGUCAGAGGUCAGCUCCGUCCCCUAAUGUUGCCACUCAGGGCCAUGUACCAGUGAUUGAUUGCUGUUCAUGCAUCCCAGGAUUAUCACCCGCUCUCCUUUCCAUCUAAAAUGUCUACCAUCACUCUUCUCCAGCUUCUCCUUUUCUGGUCCUAUCAGAAAAGGGAGCAGAAUUUAAUGGCAGAGACCAUGGGCUUAGAAAUUUAGCUUUGUAAGGUUGAGUCCUGCUUAUAUCCCUUACUUGCUGUGAGCAACUCAUUUUCCUCUGUGAGCUUCCAGUUUCCACAUGUGCAGAAUUGCCACUGUAUAGGUACCUGCCAAAAAUAAUUGUGGGUCAGGAACAUGAUAAUUCACAGUGCCCAGAAGAUAGUAAAUACUCAAAAAAUUCUUUUCUCCUCCUCCCCAUGUUUUCCCUGCUACCCUUAUUAUCCUUCAUCUUUCAAAACUGAGCUAAGGGAUCAUACAUAUCAGAAAAAUAUCUCCUGCCCCUGUCCCUUCUCACAGAAAAUCAUGUCUGUAAUUUUAUCUUGCCUCAGAGUAUCGUUCCCUAUGCUGUCAGCCUCACCCUGUCUCUGCAAGAGACCUUUAGAGGCCAAUCAUUAUCAACACUUCAUUGAUGUAUCUUAAGCAAAUGGCAUACAGUUGGUAUUCAAUAAAUGCCAGAGGGCAUGUUGAAAGCAGGAAUGCUGGAAGAGGUAAGAAAGACAGACACAACAGAAGAAAAAAAAAAUCACAUAUGUCACAACAGCUCCUCAAAAGAGAUUUUAUUUUAGAAUGUAAAGGAAAAAUAGAGCAAAAGAAAAAACCAUUAAGUGGCCCAAAUUGCAUUACUAGUUCUCUACUCUGGGAUACACAGCCAUCAUUCAGUCUCUAGUAAAAGCAAUUCUUGAUUGACUAAGAAGUGCUUAGCAAAAAAAGCAAAAUUUACCAUGUGUAUUUACAGUUUGAGUGGCUCGGCUCCUCUAGCUUUGCUUACAUCAAUGAAAGGGGGAAUAUGCACCCAGACAGUCUAAUUUCUUUAAGUCAGAUGAGUCACAGAAGCAAACAUUCGAAGAUGUGCUACAAAAUAAUCAAUCAUCAGAUAAAACUGUUUUGGAUGUAGCAGAUGUAUAAAAUAAAGUGAGACUAUUUUUUUAAGCUAAAAGUUUGCAUAUUUACAAAAGAUUCUGGUAGAAUAGAGAAACUUAGCCAAAACAUCACUUAAAAGAAGGUAUAGUUUCAAAGCAGAAAGGCAGCUGAAAAUGGCAGUCAGUUAUCUUCAUUCCUUAACUCCUAACCUUAUUCCUCAUCCUCAUGCUCAGCACCCAGUAACUGAUUUUUCAUGAUAAACACCUUUAAUUUUUAUUUUAUUAACAAUGUGGCUUCUAGAACACUUGAAUAUUGUAUUUGGCCAAUGUCUGCUUUAAAUAUGUCAUAAAUAGAAAGCAUCAGCAGUAGGAGUAGCAGCAUGCUGACCAUUUACUAGAAGGGAGGUGCCUCCCACAUGUGAUGGUGAGUAUCAGUACACCCAUUUUGCAGGUGGAGAAAUUCCUAUGCUCGCUGAGAAGCUGCAUGGCCACAUUCACACAUGUUAGACAUUAUGGAGCUCAGAUGUCCACAUGGAGCUUUCUCAUUCCAGUGUGCUCUGGCACUUUCCAGAUGUAAACUGACAAGCAUCCAGUCCAAUGAAAUGAUGACUUCCUAUAAAAUAGAUGUUUAAUGUCUUAUAAUUUAUGUAUUUCCUGAAACCAAAUGUAUGAAAAUCUAUCAAACCACCUGUGUCCAAAUGUCCACAUGCUGGAGCAUCACCAUUUUUGCAUAUACUCUUCUCCCUCCUUAAAACAAGCUUCCUCCUUCAUGUUCUAUUUCCAGUUUAUUCUUCAAAAACUCCAUGCUCAUGUGUCCUAUCCUACAGGUAUAUUUUCCUAGCACUCCUUGUUUCACCCUCCCCUCAUCACCAAUAUGGAAUUAAUAUUCUUGGUUUGUGUUCUAUGCACUCUGCGCCUAAUUCUGAUGGCAUACUUGACCCAUUAUUUGCAUUUUCUUUUCCUCAAAGAAUCCUAUUUAUUUAAGGGUGGAGGCCAUAUUUUAUGCAUCAUUAAAUCCCCAGAACCUAUCUGUGAUAGUUAAUAUUGAGCAUCAAAUUGACUGAAGAAAAAGAUGCAAAAUCUUGAUCCUGGGUGUGUCUGUGAGGGUGUUGCCAAAGGAGAUUCCCAUUUGAGUCAAUGGACUGGGAAAGGCAGACCCACCCUCAAUCUGUGUGGGCACCAUCUAAUCAGCUGAGAGAGCAGCCAGAAUAACAGCAGGGAGAAGAACGAAGAAAGACUAGACUGGCUAAGUCUUCUGGCCUCUGUCUUUCUCCCAUGCUGGAUGCUUCUUGCCCUUAAACAUCAGACUACAAGUUCUUCAGCUUUUAGACUCUUGGACUUAACACCAGUGAUUUCCUUUGUCCACAAACUAAAGGAUGUACUAUCAGCUUCCCUACUUCUGAGGUUUUGGGACUUCCUCACUCUUCAGAUGCAGACGGCCUUUCGUAGGACUUCAUCUUGUGAUCGUACCUCUGCUAUGAAGUCUUUACUCAAAUCUCUGUUUCCUGAGGUUUCCUCUCAACCUUCUAUAGAAGCUAUCCUCUGCACCACAAAGUUAGAUCGUGAAUCAUGUGCUAUUUUGAACUAUUGAAUUCUUCGUUUUCCUGUGCCUGCUUUUCUCCCCUGUGCAGGUGGACAGAAAUGCACAUGGGUUGCAGUAUCUAGGGAAAUGCCAACUGAUAAUUCCCCAAGGCUAUUACAGACUAACGUAACUUUUACGAGCACAGUGAAUUCCAAUAUCUAAUCUUCAUCUUUGCAAGACCAAUAAUUCUCUGUCUGAGCCCUAGAAAUAAUGAUUGAUUCGAGCAUUGAUUAUAUUUUCCUAACAUUUGAGUUGUCUCACUGUUAAGUGGAGACAGUCUGGACAUAACAGAAGCUUUCUGCUCCACCUACUUAUCAGGCAAUGAGGGCAAUCACUCGACAGAAUUCCUCCAAAGAGGAAGCCUGAGAGUGUUUUGAAGAAAUAAAUACUAUGCAGAAUCGACCGUGACCAUCAAGAAAAAACUUCAGUGGACAAAGAUGGCUGCCAGAUUUCCUUCUCAAGGAAAGCAUAGCUCCAGGAGAACGUUUUGCUUUGACCAAGUACUUUGCUGAGCCAGAAGAUGGAAAACUGGAAGUCAGAGUCAAGGUAGAGCUAAAUUGUAUUAGGCGGUUACAGUGCGCAACUCCAGGUGGCAUCACUGGCCUUAAAGCCAGGAAACAAUCAUGGAAAAGGAGAAUGUCUAAUUAUAUCUAUACAUAUGAUGCAGUAUAAGAUCUCUAUUUUUCUGGCAUGCACUUUCAGUAAUUUCAUCAUGUUUGAUAAACCUUUUGUGACACUGGAUUGAUUUUGGUGGGUAGACUCUUUAAAAAAAAUAGGGUUGAGUUAUGAAUCUGAGUUACCAUAGGAGAAACCAAGUACUUUUCCUGAAGCUUACCAAUUGAAAGAAAAGAGAACAUUUGGGUUGCAUAUGAUUAUGAGGUGCUGAUGACUAAUUUGGGGAGUUGUUAAGAUAAUUAAACAAAAGAAAAUUAUAAACUAUAUGGAAAUUGUAGAAGCUCCACAUGUGUGUACUAUCUUCCUCCAGGAAGCAAGCGAUAUGGACUACUUGUAAGAAACUAAACAAGUUCAUGAGGUUGGUAAUGAGGAGUGUUUGUGCGUGCGUGUGUGUGUGUGUGUGUGUAGGGAAUUGCAUGAAAAGAGCAGUUAUAAUGGCAGAUUUGGGGAAAUCUCACAAAGAAGGAGAGUGCAGCAGUAAUUCAGGUGGUCAAGGCUCUAAGCCUGCUGGCCGCUGUGUUAUUCCUGCAAUAUGUCAAGGCCUGUCACAGGAUAGAGGAUCAUAUGCGCACAUCUCACCUCUCUUCCCCCCAUACCUUGCUAGGACACUUGUAAAUCUGUUUCUCUCAUCACCUGCCUCUCUCUUUUGAUAGUCACACUUAUCCUCAAAUAUAUUAAUGCAGGCAACAUUGCUCUAGCUAAAUCUUGCUGUUGCCAAGAAGUCAUUUAUCUCUUUUAGAUGAUUUUAUGUAUUUAUCACACUUUAUUUUGUGGUUCUUAAUCUCAGAGCUGCUUCUUGUUAUUGUUGUUGCCCUGAGUUCUGGAGUCAGGAGAACAGCAACUUAUUAAAACCCCAGUUAUAGACAACAUAGCCAACAAGAAGUAAAAAUUUACUCGAAAAAAAUAUCUUGCUUUUCUCAUUGUUUGCAUUUCCAGAAUUUCAGUCACAAAACAAGGCACAAAAUAGAAGCUCAAUAAACACUUGACUAUUUCCUGGGGCCCUUUUGAUGAAAGAAUCUAUGUGAACACUUCACACAUUUUUUUUAAUGAGAAAAGCUUUUGCCCUAUUCUUAAAGUCUAUUAUUGUUACAUGCCUCUUCUUGGGUGCCAGUGAAUUAAAAUUUGUAGCAACCUAAUCUGUCUCCCUCUAAACACAUUUGUAAUGCUUGGUAUUCUUGAUUCGGUUGUGCUUUGUGUGUCAUAUAUCAUUACACUGUGUUGCAUAUCUUAUAGAGAAAAAUUACUGAAAGUGUCUUUUUUAGAAAACCAAAAUUCUUUAUUACUAUGGCCUAUAGCAAUUAAAGCUUGAAAUUAGAAUUAAGUAUUGUGCAUUGUGAUGCA